CCCUUAGAUGUUCUGGGCUGCACGCGCGCGACAAUGACGUUUGCAACGAGAUUGCGAGGCCGUCAGGUCGAGCUGAUCUUGCAAGCUGCGUCGUGAUAGGGACAGUCGAUUGCAAUUAUUCGACUCGAACGAGGAAUUCCUUGUAAUCGCGCAUCAUCAGUGCGCGCUGAAUACGUCCCUGCCCUUUGUACACACCGCCCGUCGCUCCUACCGAUUGAAUGUUCCGGUGAGCUCUUCGGACUGCGCGGUCUGCAGUUUCUGCGUUCCGUGCGGAAAGUUGCGCAAACCUUAACAUUUAGAGGAAGGAGAAGUCGUAACA
rnacentral:rRNA from 1 species